UACGUAGGGUGCAAGCGUUGUCCGGAAUUAUUGGGCGUAAAGAGCGUGUAGGCGGCUUGGUAGGUCCGCUGUGAAAACUCGAGGCUCAACCUCGAGAUGUCGGCGGAAACCACUUGGCUAGAGUCCGGAAGAGGAGAGUGGAAUUCCUGGUGUAGCGGUGAAAUGCGCAGAUAUCAGGAGGAACACCGGUGGCGAAGGCGGCUAUCUGGACAGAGUCUGACGCUGAGGCGCGAAAGCUAGGGGAGCAAACAGG
rnacentral:rRNA from 1 species